GUGGGUAUAGCUUAGUUGGUUAAAGCGCCAGAUUGUGGCUCUGGAGAGCAUGGGUUCGACUCCCAUUACUCACCCCA
rnacentral:tRNA from 3 species